rnacentral:rRNA from 1 species
UACGGAGGGUGCAAGCGUUAUCCGGAUUCACUGGGUUUAAAGGGUGCGUAGGAGGGCAGGUAAGUCAGUGGUGAAAUCUCCAAGCUUAACUUGGAAACUGCCGUUGAUACUAUCUGUCUUGAAUACCGUGGAGGUGAGCGGAAUAUGUCAUGUAGCGGUGAAAUGCUUAGAUAUGACAUAGAACACCAAUUGCGAAGGCAGCUCGCUACACGAAUAUUGACUCUGAGGCACGAAAGCGUGGGGAGCAAACAGG